UGAAUCCUACGGGGCGCAGCAGUGAGGAAUAUUGGUCAAUGGGCGAGAGCCUGAACCAGCCAAGUCGCGUGAGGGAGUACUGCCCUAUGGGUUGUAAACCUCUUUUGUCGGGGAGCAAAAGCCGGACGUGUCCGUCUGUGAGAGUACCCGAAGAAAAAGCAUCGGCUAACUCCGUGCCAGCAGCCGCGGUAAUACGGAGGAUGCGAGCGUUAUCCGGAUUUAUUGGGUUUAAAGGGUGCGUAGGCGGUUUUUUAAGUUAGUGGUUAAACGUCGGGGCUUCACCUUGAUUUGCCAUUAAUACUGUA
rnacentral:rRNA from 1 species